UACCAGCUCUCCGAGUUGUAGGGAUGAUUAUUGGGCUUAAAGCGUCCGUAGCUGGCUUAGCAAGUCUCCUGUUAAAUUCAGCGACCUAAUCGUUGAGCCGCGGGAGAUACUACUAGGCUAGGAGGCGGGAGAGGUCGACGGUACUUUCGGGGUAGGGGUGAAAUCCUAUAAUCCCGGGAGGACCAUCAGUGGCGAAGGCUGUCGACCAGAACGCGCUCGACGGUGAGGGACGAAAGCUGGGGGAGCGAACCGGAUUAGAUACCCGGGUAGUCCCAGCUGUAAACUAUGCGGGCUAGGUGUUGGGGUGGCUACGGGCCACUUCAGUGCCGCAGGAAAGCCAUUAAGCCCGCCGCCUGGGGAGUACGGCCGCAAGGCUGAAACUUAAAGGAAUUGGCGGGGAGCACCACAAGGCGUGAAGCUUGCGGUUC
rnacentral:rRNA from 1 species